AGUCCUCCUGGGGCCAGCCUCACCACCCCACUGUGCUGAAGUGACCCACAGGGGUUUUCAAUUGGAGCUAGUGUGAACUCACCAUGUCUGGUACCUCUACCCCAGCCACUGCAGCACCACAGGGUGGGAGCACUUGAGGGCUCCCCUUCCAGCAGCAGGAUGUGCCCAUCACUCAGUUCCGCUCCAUGACAAACUGCCAAAUCCGGGGAAAAGUUGCUUUUUCCAUUUUUAGCCAUUUUAUUGCCUCCAUGUGGCGAUCCAGCCUCGGCAGCAAACACAUUGCUUAAGGAUGAACAUUAGAGGCGUCUGGAUAAAUAAAGCUGGUGAGGAUGCCUCGACACCUCCGGGUUUCA